rnacentral:rRNA from 1 species
GGCAAUGCCGGCGUCUACCAUGCAGUCGAACGGUGAAGCCCUUCGGGGUGGAUCAGUGGCGAACGGGUGAGUAACACGUGGGCAAUCUGCCCUGCACUCUGGGACAAGCCCUGGAAACGGGGUCUAAUACCGGAUACGACCUUCCCCUGCAUGGGGGUUGGUGGAAAGCUCCGGCGGUGCAGGAUGAGCCCGCGGCCUAUCAGCUUGUUGGUGGGGUAAUGGCCUACCAAGGCGACGACGGGUAGCCGGCCUGAGAGGGCGACCGGCCACACUGGGACUGAGACACGGCCCAGACUCCUACGGGAGGCAGCAGUGGGGAAUAUUGCACAAUGGGCGAAAGCCUGAUGCAGCGACGCCGCGUGAGGGAUGACGGCCUUCGGGUUGUAAACCUCUUUCAGCAGGGAAGAAGCGCAAGUGACGGUACCUGCAGAAGAAGCACCGGCUAACUACGUGCCAGCAGCCGCGGUAAUACGUAGGGUGCGAGCGUUGUCCGGAAUUAUUGGGCGUAAAGAGCUCGUAGGCGGCCUGUCGCGUCGGAUGUGAAAGCCCGGGGCUUAACCCCGGGUCUGCAUUCGAUACGGGCAGGCUAGAGUGUGGUAGGGGAGAUCGGAAUUCCUGGUGUAGCGGUGAAAUGCGCAGAUAUCAGGAGGAACACCGGUGGCGAAGGCGGAUCUCUGGGCCAUUACUGACGCUGAGGAGC